UACGUAGGGGCAAGCGUUGUCCGGAUUUAUUGGGCGUAAAGAGCGUGUAGGCGGCCAAACAGGUCAGCUGUGAAAACUCGAGGCUCAACCUCGAGACGUCGGUUGAAACCGUUUGGCUAGAGUCCGGAAGAGGAGAGUGGAAUUCCCGGUGUAGCGGUGAAAUGCGCAGAUAUCGGGAAGAACACCCGUGGCGAAGGCGGCUCUCUGGGACGGUACUGACGCUGAGACGCGAAAGCGUGGGGAGCGAACAGG
rnacentral:rRNA from 1 species